CGUAGAGAACCUACCUUACACAGGGGGACAACAGCUGGAAACGGCUGCUAAUACCGCAUGACACAUAUUUAUCGCAUGGUAGAUGUGUCAAAGAUUUAUCGCUGAGAGAUGGCCUCGCGUCUGAUUAGCUAGUUGGUAGGGUAACGGCCUACCAAGGCGACGAUCAGUAGCCGGACUGAGAGGUUGGCCGGCCACAUUGGGACUGAGAUACGGCCCAGACUCCUACGGGAGGCAGCAG
rnacentral:rRNA from 1 species